ACAAGCUAAGUUAGGUAGGUUUCAAACUCCGAAGCCCACAAAGCACAACUCUUACUCCAGCUCCAAGUUCGCAGGACUGACGACUCACAGCACAAAGCAAGAUCCCUAUCAAUUGUACUAGUAAGUUGUAACGCAGAAUGGACGCAGUUUUAUCAAGUAAGAAGAGAAGCGUCGCAAAUGGACAGGUUCUAGAUGGUUCCAAUAUAAUGGAGUUGGUUGGGAACCAUCAAGUUUUCACCAAUUUCGUGGACCAUAAGUUUCGGGAGUUGGAUAGAGACAGCGACGGUAAGCUCUCGGUGCAGGAGCUCCAGCCUGCCGUCGCCGAUAUCGGUGCUGCUCUCGGAUUGCCUGCUCAGGGCACGAAUCCUGAGUCCGACCACAUUUAUUCUGAGGUCUUAUAUGAGUUCACCCAUGGGAAGGCGGAGAAAGUAAGCAAGGCCGAGUUCAAAGAGGUUCUCUCUGAUAUUCUAUUGGGUAUGGCUGCUGGACUGAAGCGAGACCCAAUUAUGAUACUUCGUAUUGAGGGGGAAGAUCUAUUUGAAUUUGUUAAUGGUCCAAGUUAUGAACCAGAAAUGGCAUCCAUGUUCUUCGAGAUUAAGUCCCCGAAUUUAUCACUCCGUGAUCAUAUAGUUGAAGCCAUGGGGAAGCUUACUGUUGAACAAGGAAUUCCUCCCACUUCUGAUUCUUGGGUAUUUAACAACAUUGUGGAUCCCGCACUACAAUCUCAAGCCGGCCCUGCUUGGGAUGAGCCCGUUUCUCAAGAGAUAUUUCUGACGGAAUUUAGGAAAGUGGCUUUGAAGGUGGCUGAAUAUCUUAAGGAGCAGCCUGUCAUUGUUGCCCACAGUCGAAACACUUUUGAUGGAACUGGUGUUAAGAAACUAUUAUCCAGCAAGUUCGAGUUCGAAAAGACCUUGAACUCGGCUUUAGAAAAUCUGCCAAAAGAUCGAAAUGGAAAAUUGUCGAAGGACCAUCUGCGGGUGGCUCUGGAUAUGGUGUCUCCAUCUGCUGGUUUGCCUCCAUUUGGUGCCAUUGAAGAGAUGGAUAAAGUUAUUGGGGAAGUCUUUAAGAUGAUAGAUGCAGAUGAUGGAAAGACGGUUAAGGAUGACAAGUUCAAGAAAAUCUUAACUGAGAUUCUGGGAAGUAUCAUGUUGCAAUUAGAGGGCAAUCCCAUAUCAAUUUCUUCAAAUUCAGUUGUGCAUGACCCCUUGGGUCCUUCCACGCUUUUGCAGCCACCUAGUGAAACAACUUAACUACCGGCCCGCCCUGGUUUAAGUACUAUUAUGAAGUGCAGAAGAAACUACGUAUAAUAACCUUUGUCAUCUGAAAAUAACACUAAUGGCAGAAUGAUUUAAAGCAUAAGAUAAAAAUUCGAAAUGGUGGUAUGCAUUGUGUAAACCAACAAGGCAGAGAAAAUUGUACAUUCGCUGUUAUAAAAAUUGUUGGCAGCUCCAAGGGUUGCGCUCAAGAGAAAUUGGAAAGAUAGGUCGGGAACUCGCGAUGCCUUUGAUAUAUAUACGCACAUGUGCCCGCACUCUGGGUUUUGUUUCAUUCAAAUAUGUUUUCUUAUAUGAUUCCGGCGG